CUGACCCUACGGGAGGCAGCAGUAAGGGAUAUUGGUCAAUGGGGGAAACCCUGAACCAGCAACGCCGCGUGAGGGAAGACGGUUUUCGGAUUGUAAACCUCUGUCCUCUGUGAAGAUGAUGACGGUAGCAGAGGAGGAAGCUCCGGCUAACUACGUGCCAGCAGCCGCGGUAAUACGUAGGGAGCGAGCGUUGUCCGGAUUUACUGGGUGUAAAGGGCGUGCAGCCGGAGAGACAAGUCAGAUGUGAAAUCCACGGGCUCAACCCGUGAACUGCAUUUGAAACUGUUUCCCUUGAGUGUCGGAGG
rnacentral:rRNA from 1 species